GAUAGUGUGGCCGAACGGUCCAAGGUGCUGGAUUAAGAUUCCAGUCUCUAAGGAGGCGUGAGUUCGAAUCCCACCGCUACCA